UUCUUUAUGUUCGGUUAGAUAUUAAAAUCAAACUAUGCGUUUUUUCUUUGAAUAGAUUAGGGUUUCAUUCUUUUUGUUCUUCCAGAAUUCAAUCGCCGUCAACGCUUAACUUAAUCUAGGAUCACAGAUUUCUCCUUUCAUCUCUUAACCUCCCUUAUCGUUCAACGUACUCUUAAUUUCGUCAUCUCAUCUCUUAACCUCUCCUAUCGUCCAACAUAUCUUAAUUUCGCCAAUAUUUGUUAUUAACAUUUAACUUAGUAAUCAUUACGACCUCUUCGGAUCCUCCAUGUCAAAUCUAUAAAUUGGAGAGGGUUGAGAGUAGGAUGAAUCUUCAGAACCAUUGUCAGUCCUUUAUCAAGCGUAGAAAGGAUCUCCGGAAAUGGCUUCCUCCGAUGCUGUUUUUGCACAAUCCGACUUUGAAGCUCUCCGACUCAGUAGAUUACCCAGUUAAUUGUUCCUACGCUGCUUCGUUUUGGGGCCUCCAAAAACAUCAAGAAGCAUGGUGAACACAUGGAAUCACUCUACUUCUCCUUGAUGAAUUGUUUCUUAUCACACUGCAAGGAACUAUAUGAAGCAAAGAAGAGAAAUAAUAAGUUUGAUUUCAAGGUGUUCACCGAGACCGUUCCAAAUGAGGUUAAAGGGUGGAUCAACGUGCUUGAAUUUUUGUUUCAUUCGACAGAUAAGUUUUCAGCUAUCAAAACAUUGUAAAUGUCUAUCAUUAUUGUUUGUUUCUGAUGGCUGUGGAUAUUGGGUUAUGCAGUGUGUUUAGGACAGAGAGGCUAAAUUAAGUAAUAUUUAGUUUUGUACAACAUAUUUUUCACAGUGAUUUGAACAAGACAUUAACCAAGAUCUCUUGGUCUCAUGGAGCCAACAUAACCAAACUGAUAAAGAGGAAAGAAGGCUGAUCAACAAUCACUCACUCGAAACACUCAUGAUCUCUUUCAUGUUGAUUAUACAAGAAAUGUACCUGUUGGAACUACAAAGAGGCAAGAGCCACAAGAAGAAUGUUUAUAUAUGAAAUAAGACCACAUUAGAGAGGAGAAUCACAGAUGGUGUAAACGACAGAAGAGAGAAGGGGAUCAUACAUGACAGGUGGCGAUAAAAAAUUUCUUGUGGGAUUCCAUGAUGGAGUUACUAUAUCAUAGAUUUUUCUUGCGGGUGAAUGGUUUGGGUUUUGAUGAACAGGUGGGGAUACAAGAACUUCAUGAGACGUUCAUUGAAGCUAUUUAUCAGCUCGGCAGUAGUAUCUUUGUAUAAUUGUGUUUCUACACAGUAGGACCUCUGUUUAUGUGUGUGUCUUAGUUUGUUGCAGAAAAUGAAUUAUAUGACCAGUAUAUGAACAUGAUUUCAUGAUUUGUUCCAUAUCAAUAUUAAGUUUCAAGCU